rnacentral:rRNA from 1 species
GAUGAACGCUGGCGGCAUGCCUAAGACAUGCAAGUCGAACGAGGUGGCCCAAAGAAGAUUGAGUGCUUGCACAAGAUUGGACUUGGAUUACCACCUAGUGGCGGACGGGUGAGUAACACGUAGGUGACCUGCCUUUGAGUUUGGGAUAACUAUUAGAAAUGAUAGCUAAUACCGAAUUAAAUAUAGAUUCGUUUCUAUAUUAAAAGGAGCCUUUAAAGCUUCGCUUAAAGAUGGGCCUGCGGCGUAUUAGCUAGUUGGUGAGGUAAUGGCUUACCAAGGCGACGAUGCGUAGCCGAACUGAGAGGUUGAUCGGCCACAUUGGGACUGAGACACGGCCCAAACUCCUACGGGAGACAGCAGUUAGGAAUAUUCGUCAAUGGGGGAAACCCUGAACGAGCAAUGCCGCGUGAACGAUGAAGGCCCUAUGGGUUGUAAAGUUCUGUUGCAUGGGACGAACGAUUAGGAUAGGAAAUGAUCUUAAUGUGACGGUACCAUGCCAGAAA